GACUGGCUGUCUCCCAGCAGGGCGAGAGGAAGUUCUGCGCACUUCAGUUGCUGCAAUGACUUGAUCCUGCCAGAAACUCAGAGAAGCAUCCCAAGCCAGCUCCGCCUGUCGCUGGUCGGGUGCCUUGCCAAGUCUCCUCACCCGCUGGAAUCUCUACUACUUUAUCUCUAAAAUGUCAGCAGGAGUUUGCCCUUUAACUGAGUGCGUGCUGCGUGCGAGGCUGAACCACGUGCAAGUUAAGACAUCGCGGUCAUCCCCACAGGAGACGACACAGCACGGUGCGAUGUACUGUUUAUGUCUGGAAGCCCGAGACACUCUACUCUGCAAAAGCAAGGAAUUCUGCACCUCCUAAUGCACUGGAGUAGAGUAGAGGCUUUUUAACCCAGGACAAGCUCAUGAAAAAGAUGAAAGGGAAAUUUUCUGACAAGUCAAACAUCCAUGACCUCCCCACCCCCCGACACUUCUGCUGGGUUUUUGGGGGGACCACCCUGAAAAGGAGAUUCACGGGCAGGAAGAUUUUUGAGGCAAUCAGAGCAUCACCUAUGAACGAGUAAAAGAAGCAAGGCUCAGAGAGGUGGGGACCACAGCACCAUUGUCCUGGGAACCGCACUCUGACAGCUCCAGAACAAAGUACUCGUUCCUCCAGCAUCAAAGCACACGUCUUGGGUAAGUACUCUACUGGUGCAGAGCGCCUGUCCUUUAAUCUACCAAGACCAGGUCAGGAGUGAUUGUGACUAGACACAAAUUAGAUGACCCACUUAUCAAUAAAUAAAUAAAAACAGUAUUGGGGCCAGCAGUGUGGCUCAAUGGCUAGAAACACUUGCCACCAAGCCUGGGCCUGAGUUCAAUCCCUGGAAUCCACAUGGUGAGAAAAAGAACCAACUCCCUUAAAUUGUCCUCUGACUUUUAAACAGAUACUAUGACAUACACGUACCUGUUCCCCAGCACUAAUUGAAUAAAUGCAAAAGAAAUUAGAAACUUA
rnacentral:lncRNA from 1 species